GGGCUUAAUUCCUAGAAAUUCUGCUUGGGGCUGCAGCACUGAAAUCUGUUGCAGCUGUUACUGACAAAUAUUAACCUGCCCACCUGGGCCAAAACCACUACUCCAAGAAGCUAUACAGUGCUGGUAUAACAGAGGGAGGUAACAACUGCUGGAAAACAAGUGUGAUCACACCUGCAGAAGGUGCCUCAACAAUCAUCUCCAGUUGUCUAUUAAAAGGAAAAGAAAACUCCAUCACGCCCCAUCUUUCAUCUGGCUUUAAAAGGUGCUGUGCAUGUGAAAGCCAUGACAAGCAGCUACAAAGAGGUGAAAGCGAUAAACCUCAGGACUUUUUUAAAAAGCGAACUCUGUUCCUGCUCAUAUGCAUGUGGACUCCAUGAUUUCAUGUUUAGGUUUCUCUCUCUCUGGCCUGGAUAAGCUGGGAAGCCUGGGGCUGGAUUUCAAGUCUUUGCAGUAACCACAGCCCAUGAAGAGAGAGAGAGGAGGAGGAGAAGACUUACACGAAGGAAGGGAGGAAUGAGAGAAUAAAUAUUUUUAUUUUCAAAAAAUGCCUUGCGGUUGUUACUUUUUUUUAAAAAAAGACAAACCUUUAUGGAUGUAACUCGCUGUUAAACAACGCAGAACUACAACUCAGCGCAACAAUUGCAACUCGAGAGAUGUCACCCUCUAACAGGCUAGCUGUGCUUGCAACCCUUGGCGGGCAGAGGCGAUUAAUGCAACAUAAACAGCAGCUCCCCUCCACCACCAGCACCGUCGUCCUCCUCCUCGGGCGAAAUCCCUGAUUAGGGGUGGGCGGGGGUCUUUAGAAGUGGGGAAUGGAGAGAAGGGGCCGACCCCUCGCUGCCGUUACCGGGGGGGGAGCAGCAACAAAGAGUUCAAGCCCCAAAAGCCACACGCGACUUUUUUUUUAUUUUGCAACUGUGUAUCUCGCCACACUGGGCUUAAAAAAAAAGCCACAAAUCUCUGCGAAGAAGCACAACAGGGGAAAAGGAGCCAUGAUAUUCAGUCAGCCCCAAACUCGGAAGCUUUCCUUUUUCGAUUUCGCUCACUUUCACAGACAGACACACACGCACACACGUGCUCCCUUCCUCCUUGAUCCGCAACAGGGAAUGGUACAAGAGCUCUGGGGCGCUUGAAAGUUUACUGUUGGGGGGAGGGGGCGCGGCGGCGGCCGGCUGAUCCCCAAAACUCUCAUCUGUUCACGCUUCCUUUGGGGACUUUCCGAAGACCAGCUCUGGCUCAAAUGAUAAAAGGUUCCAACCGGGAGGGGGGAAAGGGGGUGUCCCGACCGGAGGCCCCCUGGCUCCUCUCUCCCUUCCCACCAGCUCCCUCCUUCCACAUCAGCCUCUACUUUUUCCUC